UCUUAAGAUGGAGGAGAUUAAUGAACCCUCCCCCCUUACAAUGAACAACACAUGGACACUCUGAGGAUGAUCCCUUUGCUUCCAUUAAGAGUUCCAAGAUGUGGGUCUGAUUGACGGGGGUGUGAAAUGUAACAGCCAAUGGUGUACUUAAGCUAGGACUGACAGUCCCAAUUUUCAAGAGG